GAUGAACGCUAGCGGCAGGCUUAACACAUGCAAGUCGAGGGGCAGCAUAAUGGAUAGCAAUAUCUAUGGUGGCGACCGGCGCACGGGUGCGUAACGCGUAUGCAACCUACCUUUAACAGGGGGAUAACACUGAGAAAUUGGUACUAAUACCCCAUAAUAUCAUAGAAGGCAUCUUUUAUGGUUGAAAAUUCCGAUGGUUAGAGAUGGGCAUGCGUUGUAUUAGCUAGUUGGUGGGGUAACGGCUCACCAAGGCGACGAUACAUAGGGGGACUGAGAGGUUAACCCCCCACACGGGUACUGAGACACGGACCAGACUCCUACGGGAGGCAGCAGUGAGGAAUAUUGGUCAAUGGACGCAAGUCUGAACCAGCCAUGCCGCGUGCAGGAUGACGGCUCUAUGAGUUGUAAACUGCUUUUGUACGAGGGUAAACGCAGAUACGUGUAUCUGUCUGAAAGUAUCGUACGAAUAAGGAUCGGCUAACUCCGUG
rnacentral:rRNA from 1 species